AGUUACCCUACACAAAUGUGGACGAUGGGAAGCUCGAAUGGGGCAAUUUCUUGGCAAGAAGUAUAUCUACCUUGGACUGUUUGACAGUGAGAUAGAAGCUGCAAGGGCAUAGGAUAAGGCCGCCAUAAAAUUAAGUGGGAGGGAAGCUGUGACGAAUUUUGAACUAAGCGCAUAUGAACAAGAGUUGACUUCUGAAGUUGAUACUGGAGGUGGCAGCCAAGAUUUGGAUUUGCAUUUGGGCAUUGCUCCUACUAGUUUUGUAGAUGGCAUGGGAACCCUC